CUGAAGCUUUUCUGGCUCUGAGGCCCCUUUCAGAUCACAGGUACUGUUGCAAUUGAUUUUUUUUCAUCAGUUUAAAGAUAAGCAGGUUUUGAGUGUGCAUAAAAUGCACAGUUGAGUUCAAUGAAGCUCCCUUCAGCAGUAAGAACCCAGCUGUGUUCAGUCACUAGCUCUAAUUAUCUUGUUGUGUUCUCAGAUAUGAAGUAAGCCUAUAGAGUGAGCUGACGUAGGUCCACUGCUUUGAGAUACUGCACAAUUAGUUCCAGCAGUUCUCCGUCGUAAACAGAGUUUGAUUAAGUUUCCUGGUGUUGAUGUACUCACCGCGGGGCGCUCCAUCUUUCAUCCCCGCCUCAGGUUCCUGUCACACAUCAGCCAGAGAGGAGACUGAGGUUCACCGAUCCACCAUGGCCGAACUUAUCUCCGAGCAGAUAAUUCCACUGAGAGGACGGUAUUAUGUUUCCCAAAACCAGCUCACAGCCGUGGAAUCCUGGUUGAUGCGCUUCUCAGGUGGCCGUCGUAUUGCUCGAAUGGAUUUCAAGCGUCGAUGUGGAACGAUUCCUUUGAGAAAGGUAUCCAUUCAAAUGAGGGUAAAGUCAUCAAGCUUCUGCAGCUGUCCUUAGAUCUUUGCUGUUUCAUUCUCGAUCGCAUGUGCUGCGUAUGUUUCAAGGAUAAGAAACUCUCGAGGAUGAUGUUCUUUCUCAGUAUGGAGAAGUGUUUCUCUCUAUUGUUGCUCGAGGACUGCGAGAUGCAGCUUUUUCUCCUGCUCACCAGUUGUCAAUCGGUAUAAAUCAAGUUGAUUUUCUCGCAUUUGCUAAAACUCGUCGGAUGUAUUUACACCCACCUUGUCUGGUUUUGGGGGUGUCUGCCUGCUGGCGUGGUGCGCUGGUGAUUU